rnacentral:rRNA from 1 species
GAUGAACGCUAGCGGCAGGCCUAACACAUGCAAGUCGAGGGGUAGAAGGAGCUUGCUCCUUUGUGACCGGCGCACGGGUGCGUAACGCGUAUGCAAUCUACCUUGUAUAGGGGAAUAGCCCAGAGAAAUUUGGAUUAAUGCCCCAUAGUAUAUAACCUUCGUAUGUUGGUUAUAUUAAAGUUCUAACGGUACAAGAUGAGCAUGCGUCCCAUUGGUUAGUUGGUAAGGUAACGGCUUACCAAGACGAUGAUGGGUAGGGGUCCUGAGGGUGAGAUCCCCCACACUGGAACUACGGCCCAGACCAGACUCCGACGGGGGGCAGCGGUAUGGAAUAUUAGUCAAGGGUCGCUAGUCUGAACCAGCCAUGCCGCGUGCAGGAGGACGGUCCUUGGGAUUGUAAUCUGCUUUUAUACAAGAAGAACCCCUCCCACGUGUGGGGGCUUGACGGUACUGUAGGAAUAAGGAUCGGCUAACUCCGUG